GCUCGAUAGAAAGAUUAGCUCCAAUCAUGAAAGCAAUCACGAUUAAGGAUCAAGCAAAAGCUGCCAGCAUCAAAGACGACUCUGUAAUUGCUGAAGAUGAUGGUUCGAUAAAUAAGCCGGAAGAGGAAAAACACGCUGCCAACAUUAUUGCGGCUAAGUGAAAAGGUUGCUUGUAAUACAUCACAAUCAAAAUUCGUUUUUAUUUCAAUCCGAAAAUCUGUUCUUAUGUUUUUAAAACUGUUUCAUUAAAUUUUCUUUGGACUUACCCUAUAAUCGUAAUCAUGACGAUUCUCCAGGCUUAUAUCGCUGUACAUAUCCUCAGUUGUAUCACAGUUGGAGCUACGGCCAGAGGAGUUGAAACUCGAUGAUCUGUAGAGUUGGCUGAAAACGAGUGGAAAAAUAUAUGUAAAGAAUUGAAUUUACAAAUUUAAAACUUGCAGACUUUGCUACUGUGAAUUGUUUCGAGCGGUUUGUGUCUGUACUAUGCCAGUAUUUCUGGUGUCUGCGCUCAAUGGGAGCUUUUUAAGCAAUACGCCUAGUGCAGACACAAACCGCAGCACAAUCAAAUCAAAACUGUAAAAUGCAAUGCGUACCAAACUGUAUUUAGCCAAGACACUGACAAAUGUAUCUCGCGCUCUGGCUGCCAAACUGUGACUGUAAUACCGUGACUGUCAAACCAAUUCAAAUUGAAUCAAAAUGCAAUCAAGCUCAUAUAGAACAAAUACAUUUACAGCAAAGAAAAACUUACCUAGCUAAGGCAUUGGAACUUAUCUGCCUGCGGCCGGAACUGCAAACAAAUUGAGAAUAAAUGUUGAAAUUUAGUAAAUUAUUAAAAUAGAAUAUAUAACAUUAAAUACGAUUCUACCGUGUUCCGUAGCCCCAGUUAGCUCAAUAAUAGUUAAGCUAAUUCCUUAAAUUCCUUAUUAACAAAUGCAUUUGAUGCCCUUCAAGUUGAAGCCCCAGCAACGAAAUUUCUAUAAAUUGAUUGCCCAUUGAAGAAAAUGCAAAUAAACCAGCUGACAUUGAAGAAAACCCAAACAAAAAGCAACUAACGUGGCCACCGAAAAUAAGGAAAAAGAAAACCCAACACGUGAUAAAACAGAAAAUCAACAAAAACAACAACAGAAAAGUCAAAAGAAAAAAAGUAGGAAAACAAUGGCCACCCACGCAAACGAUUGAUGCCUACAGACACACAAAGUUAAAGAGAAACAGGUAAAAAAAACAA